UACGUAGGGGGCUAGCGUUGUCCGGAAUCAUUGGGCGUAAAGCGCGUGUAGGCGGCCCGGUAAGUCCGCUGUGAAAGUCGGGGGCUCAACCCUCGGAUGCCGGUGGAUACUGUCGGGCUCGAGUACGGAAGAGGCGAGUGGAAUUCCUGGUGUAGCGGUGAAAUGCGCAGAUAUCAGGAAGAACACCCGUGGCGAAGGCGGCUCUCUGGGACGGUACUGACGCUGAGACGCGAAAGCGUGGGGAGCGAACAGG
rnacentral:rRNA from 1 species